CGCGAAUGGCUCAUUACAACAGCUAAAAUUUACUCGAUCUUGACACAAUCCUACUUGGAUAACUGUGGUAAUUCUAGAGCUAAUACAUGCAUUAAAGCUCUGACCUUCGGGGAAGAGUGCAUUUAUUAGAACAAAACCAAGCGGCUUCGGCUGUUUUCGGUUGACUCAUAGUAACUGAGCUGAUCGCAUGGUCUUGCACCGGCGACGUGUCGUUCAAGUAUCUGCCGUAUCAACUUUCGAUGGUAGUGUAUCUGACUACCAUGGUGAUCACGCGUAACGGAGAAUAAGGGUUCGACUCCGGAGAGUUCGCCUGAGAAAUCGCGAACACAUCUAAGGAAGGCAGCAGGCGCGAAAAUUACCCACUCUCAGCACGAGGAGGUAGUGACGAAAAAUAACGAGACCGUUCUCUUAUGAGGCCGGUCAUCGGAAUGGGUACAAUUUAAGCCCUUUAACGAGUAUCUAUGAGAGGGCAAGUCUGGUGCCAGCAGCCGCGGUAAUUCCAGCU
rnacentral:rRNA from 1 species